rnacentral:lncRNA from 1 species
CUCCUUAUCCAGCAGCAGCUCAGUGGUACCAGGAUUGAAGGUUUUGUGUAUUAUAAGGAAAUUCAGAGCCACAUGAAGAUGAGUUUGAGCUUAAAACCCCACUGGAAUUUGCCCAGAUGCAGUUGGUGUUUCUUUCACGGCGAAAACACAGCUUCAGCCUUAUGAAGAAUUGCAAAAUACCUGCUUGUCCAAACAAACAGAAACAUCUAUAUUGUUUGCAUGGGUCUAGAUUACGCUCUGAGAAUAGAAUGUUCCCUGCAUAAAGAGCGCGGCUGGAGUAAAUCAAUGAGGAUGCACUCAGAAACAUCAAUUAAAGAAAGCUGCUCCCUUUUCAUCACAGCCCUGAUAAUGAAUUGCAGUGUACAAAGCCGGUCAUACAAUACGCAGCAGCGGCAGCGCGGAGCGAGAAUCUUUGGGAAGAGUUUCCAUAGAAACAUUGACGUCCUCCUGGCGAACAGGACACCGAGUUCCUUCAAUGGGAGCUGCCUUCUGUGUCUUGCUCAGGACUCCAGCAACUUCUGCCAGCUCAGCAGCAGUUACCGGGUUUGUAAAGCUCCUUACGGAAUCUCACCUGAAAACACUGAUCUGCGGCACUGUGCAGUUUUUCCCACUUCAAAGGGAAAUCUGCUGCUGCCACCCCAGAACUGAGCGCAGCGAGACACCGAACUGUCACUGGGGGCUGAUGUCACCUCCCAAGGUGUGUUUGUUGUACCAGGGAGCCUUCUGAGCGCUAAUGUCAGAAAAAACAAAACAAAACAACCACCUCUAUUUGUCUUUUCGCCUUCUCUGUUUAGGGAGUUGUUUCACGUUGUCUCUUUUUGUUCAAAACAAAUACCCAGGGCUCUCACGCAGAUUCCCAGUGAUGCUACAGCAGUUCCCAGUAGUCUCCCAGUUGCUAAUGCUUGUAAUUUUAUAAUGUUCAUACUUUAUUUUCCAUUCGGGGUGCACAGUGACGGCAGGUGACUCAGUUUUCACCGAAGGCAUGUGCAACCCCUUAUGGUUAAAAAUGGGUGAGAAAUGGGGAGGGGGGAAUCGUAAAUAUUUUUAGUCUUAAUCAAGAUCUUCAAGCUGUUUGCAAUACUGCAAUCCCAGUAGCAUCAACAUUGAUAUGUCUGAAUAAAAGCUAUGUGUUUUACA